GCUCCGUUAGCUCAGUCGGUAGAGCACCUGCCUUUUAAGCAGGGUGUCCGGGGUUCGAAUCCCCGACGGGGCACCA
rnacentral:tRNA from 11 species